UUUAAGAUUUCUUUUUGUCCUUUAAUACAAGACUGAACUGUGAAUGCCUAAAGUGACAAGAAAUCAGAUGCAUUGUGCAGAUAGAUCAUUGUGAUAAACUUGGAACCAGGAGUUAAUAUAUUGCAUUAUUUAGAGUGUGAACCAACCUCAGAGGUGACACGUGCAUUUCACUCUUACUGGUGUGAGAGAAAGAUGCUACAAGCUUUUGUUCAGGAAUAAUUCAUUAAAAACCAACAAGUAGUGGUUUAAACAGCUUCAAAUGCAGACUAAAAUAGCCAAGCUGCAGUUCUAGCUGUGUGGGAGAAUGUUUCUGAUUCACCAAUUGUAUUCUGCAUAUUGCUAUUUGGUUUUAGCUCAUUACAAUGUGACGUGCCAUAAUCUCAAGUCACUUGCAAGAAUAGAGCAACCCCCAAUAUUUUAC